rnacentral:rRNA from 1 species
AUUGAACGCUGGCGGCAUGCUUUACACAUGCAAGUCGAACGGUAACAGGCCGCAAGGUGCUGACGAGUGGCGAACGGGUGAGUAAUGCAUCGGAACGUGCCCAGCCGUGGGGGAUAACUACUCGAAAGAGUAGCUAAUACCGCAUACGAUCUAUGGAUGAAAGCGGGGGACCGUAAGGCCUCGCGCGAUUGGAGCGGCCGAUGUCAGAUUAGGUAGUUGGUGGGGUAAAGGCUCACCAAGCCAACGAUCUGUAGCUGGUCUGGGAGGACGACCAGCCACACUGGGACUGAGACACGGCCCAGACUCCUACGGGAGGCAGCAGUGGGGAAUUUUGGACAAUGGGCGCAAGCCUGAUCCAGCAAUGCCGCGUGCAGGAAGAAGGCCUUCGGGUUGUAAACUGCUUUUGUACGGAACGAAACGGCUCUGGUUAAUACCCGGGGCUAAUGACGGUACCGGAAGAAUAAGCACCGGCUAACUACGUG